rnacentral:rRNA from 1 species
CCUACGGGUGGCAGCAGUGGGGAAUAUUGGGCAAUGGGCGCAAGCCUGACCCAGCAACGCCGCGUGAAGGAAGAUGUCUUUCGGGUUGUAAACUUCUUUUAAGGGGGAAGAGCAGAAGACGGUACCCCUUGAAUAAGCCACGGCUAAAUACGUGCCAGCAGCCACGGAAAUACGUAGGUGGCAAGCGUUGUCCGGAUGUACUGGGUGUAAAGGGCGUUCAGCCGGAAAGACAAGCUAGAUGUUAAAGCCACGGGCUCAACCCGUGAACUGCAUUUGAAACUGUUUCCAUUGAGUGUCGGAGAGGUAAGCGGAAUGCGUUGUGUAGCGGUGAAAUGCGUAGAUAUAAGGAAGAACACCAGUGGCGAAGGCGGAUUACUGGACGAUAACUGACGGUGAGGCGCGAAAGCGUGGGGAGCAAACAGGAUUAGAUACCCUAGUAGUC